UACGGAGGGUGCGAGCGUUGUCCGGAACCACUGGGCGUAAAGGGCGCGUAGGUGGCCUGUGGAAGUCUGCGGUGAAAGCCCGGCGCUCAACGCCGGGUCGGCCGUGGAUACUCUCGGGCUCGAGCUUACUAGAGGCAGAUGGAAUUCCGGGUGUAGCGGUGGAAUGCGUAGAGAUCCGGAAGAACACCGGUGGCGAAGGCGGUCUGCUGGGCAGUUGCUGACACUGAUGCGCGACAGCGUGGGGAGCAAACAGG
rnacentral:rRNA from 1 species